UACGGGGGGAGCAAGCGUUGUUCGGAUUUACUGGGCGUAAAGGGCGCGUAGGCGGUCGUGACAAGUCACUUGUGAAAUCUCCGGGCUUAACUCGGAACGGUCAAGUGAUACUGUCGGACUAGAGUACAGAAGGGGCAACUGGAAUUCUCGGUGUAGCGGUGAAAUGCGUAGAUAUCGAGAGGAACACCCUGCGGCGAAGGCGGGUGCUGGGCCGCAACUGACACUGAGGGACGGAAAGCUAGGGGAGCGAACGGG
rnacentral:rRNA from 1 species